UACAGGAGGUCUCAAGCGUUUGUUCGGAAUUACUGGGCGUAAAGGGUGCGCAGGCCGCGCGGGCAGUCAAAUGUGUAAUUCAGGGGCUCAACCCCUGCACUGCGCUUGAUACUUCCGCGCUCGGACUUUGGAGAGGAGUCUGGAAUUCUCGGUGUAGCAGUGAAAUGCGUGGAUAUCGAGAAGAACACUUAGGGCGUAGGCAAGACUCUGGACAAAUGCUGACGCUCAUGCACGAAGGCUAGGGUAGCGAACGGG
rnacentral:rRNA from 1 species